UCCGAUGUGGGAUUAUUGGGGUGUCACAGACUCCCCCCGUUAAGGCCCUGACGUCCUCGUCAGUCCAAUCACACACACAGCCCAAGAUCACCAGGCGAUGUGAGACUCGUCUCGCUAGCCCGUCAUCCAGACCCUGGCUCAGCCGAGACUCGCCACACAUGUCCAGCUGGUGAACCGGCUCUGAUACCAAAUAUAACGACCUAGCCCACUAGCAAU
rnacentral:lncRNA from 1 species